GUGCUGGCUUUGGCAGUGCAUGCACUAAAACUGGAACGAUACAGGGAAGACUAGCAAGGAUGACAUGUGAAUUCAUGAAGCAUUCUAUAAUUUU
ensembl:snRNA U6 U6 spliceosomal RNA